GAUGAACGCUGGCGGCGUGCUUAACACAUGCAAGUCGAACGGAGCGCCGGACACGGACUAUUUCGGUAGGAAGCGUGCGGAGGCUUAGUGGCGGACGGGUGAGUAACGCGUGGAUAACCUGCCGCAUACCGGGGGAUAACAGCUGGAAACAGCUGCUAAUACCGCAUAUGCCCGCAGUGCCGCAUGGCACAGCGGGGAAAACUCCGGUGGUAUGCGAUGGGUCCGCGUCUGAUUAGGCAGUUGGCGGGGUAACGGCCCACCAAACCGACGAUCAGUAGCCGGCCUGAGAGGGCGGACGGCCACACUGGGACUGAGACACGGCCCAG
rnacentral:rRNA from 1 species